rnacentral:tRNA from 1 species
GCCUUGGUGGUGGAAUGGUAGACGCAGUGGAUUCAAAAUCCACCGUCCGUAAGGAUGUGCGAGUUCGAGUCUCGCCCGAGGCACCA